ensembl:lncRNA
AUGCUGGGGCCGCUGCUUGGGCUGGUAGUGAUGCCAGUAGCUGGGAACCUGGGGCCGGUAGCUGGGAACCUGGGGCUUGGGCCGGUAGCUGGGAACCUGGGGCCGAGGCCGAGGCUGAGGCUUGGGCUGGUAGCUGGGAACCUGGGGCCGAGGCUGAGGCUUGGGCCGGUAGCUGGGAGGCUGAGGCCGGGGCCGAGGCUUGGGCCGGUAGCUGGGAGGCUGAGGCCGGGGCUGAGGCCGAGGCCUGGGCGGGUAGCUGGGAACCUGGGGCUGAGGCAUGGGCUGGUAGCUGGGAACCUGGGGCCGAGGCCGAGGCUUGGGCUGGUAGCUGGGAACCUGGGGCCGAGGCUGAGGCUGAGGCUUGGGCUGGUAGACGGGAACCUGGGGCCGAGGCUGAGGCUGAGGCAUGGGCUGGUAGACGGGAACCUGGGGCCGAGGCUGAGGCUGAGGCAUGGGCUGGUAGACGGGAACCUGGGGCUGAGGCUUGGGCAUGGGCUGGUAGACGGGAACCUGGGGCUGAGGCUUGGGCAUGGACUGGUAGACGGUAACCUGGGGCUGAGGCAUGGGCUGGUAGCUGGGAACCUGGGGCUGAGGCAUGGGCUGGUAGCUGGGAACCUGGGGCCGAGGCUGAGGCAUGGGCUGGUAGCUGGGAACCUGGGGCCGAGGCUGAGGCUGAGGCUUGGGCUGGUAGCUGGGAACCUGGGGCCGAGGCUGAGGCUGAGGCUUGGGCUGGUAGCUGGGAACCUGGGGCCGAGGCUGAGGCUGAGGCUUGGGCUGGUAGCUGGGAACCUGGGGCCGGGGCUGAGGCUUUGGCAUGGGCUGGUAGACGGGAACCUGGGGCUGAGGCUUGGGCAUGGGCUGGUAGACGGGAACCUGGGGCUGAGGCUUGGGCAUGGGCUGGUAGACGGGAACCUGGGGCUGAGGCAUGGGCUGGUAGACGGGAACCUGGGGCUGAGGCUUGGGCUGGUAGACGGGAACCUGGGGCUGAGGCUUGGGCUGGUAGCUGGGAACCUGGGGCUGAGGCUUGGGCUGGUAGCUGGGAACCUGGGGCUGAGGCUUGGGCUGGUAGCUGGGAACCUGGGGCUGAGGCUGAGGCUGAGGCAUGGACUGGUAGACGGGAACCUGGGGCUGAGGCUUGGGCUGGUAGCUGGGAACCUGGGGCUGAGGCUGAGGCAUGGGCUGGUAGCUGGGAACCUGGGGCUGAGGCUGAGGCAUGGGCUGGUAGCUGGGAACCUGGGGCUGAGGCUUGGGCUGGUAGCUGGGAACCUGGGGCUGAGGCUGAGGCAUGGGCUGGUAGCUGGGAACCUGGGGCUGAGGCUGAGGCAUGGGCUGGUAGCUGGGAACCUGGGGCUGAGGCUGAGGCAUGGGCUGGUAGCUGGGAACCUGGGGCUGAGGCUUGGGCUGGUAGCUGGGAACCUGGGGCUGAGGCUUGGGCUGGUAGCUGGGAACCUGGGGCUGAGGCUUGGGCUGGUAGCUGGGAACCUGGGGCUGAGGCUUGGGCUGGUAGCUGGGAACCUGGGGCUGAGGCUUGGGCUGGUAGCUGGGAACCUGGGGCUGAGGCUUGGGCUGGUAGCUGGGAACCUGGGGCUGAGGCUUGGGCUGGUAGAUGGGAACCUGGGGCUGAGGCUGAGGCAUGGGCUGGUAGAUGGGAACCUGGGGCUGAGGCAUGGGAACCUGGGGCUCAUAGCUCAUGUCCAAAAUGCCUGGCUCAAAUCCCCAAUAGGAAGCUAA